UACGUAGGGGGCAAGCGUUGUCCGGAAUCAUUGGGCGUAAAGCGCGUGUAGGCGGCUUCGUAAGUCCGUUGUGAAAGUCCAGGGCUCAACCCUGGAAUGCCGAUGGAUACUGCGGAGCUAGAGUCCGGAAGAGGCGAGUGGAAUUCCUGGUGUAGCGGUGAAAUGCGCAGAUAUCAGGAGGAACACCAGUGGCGAAGGCGACUACCUGGCCUGUUCUUGACGCUGAGGCGCGAAAGCUAGGGGAGCAAACGGG
rnacentral:rRNA from 1 species